rnacentral:rRNA from 1 species
AUUGAACGCUGGCGGCAGGCCUAACACAUGCAAGUCGAACGAGUGGCGGACGGGUGAGUAAUGUCUGGGAAACUGCCCGAUGGCGGGGGAUAACUACUGGAAACGGUAGCUAAUACCGCAUACCAUCGGAUUUGCCCAGAUGGGAGUAGCUAGUAGGUGGGGUAACGGCUCACCUAGGCGCCGAUCCCUCGCUGGUCUGAGAGGAUGACCAGACAACCUGGAACUGAGACACGGGCCAGACUCCUACGGGAGGCAGGAGUGGGGAUGAGUGCACAAUGGGAGAAAGCCUGAUGCAGCCAUGCCGCGUGUAUGAAGAAGGCCUGCGGGUUGUAAAGGACUUUCAGCGAGGAGGCGUUACUCGCAGAAGAAGCACCGGCUAACUCCGUGCCAGCAGCCGCGGUAAUUC